ensembl:lncRNA
AAGACCUGGCUAAGGUGAUCGACCUCCAGGAAGUCAUAGACAAGCAGGAGCAGAGCCAGAUGGAGGAGCGCCUGGCAGCCCUCUUUGCCCAUGUGACUGAAGGAGGACCUGGACAUGGCCAGGAAGGACCUCCUCAAGUCCGAGGACGUGAACAGGAAACUGCAGCAGGAUGUUCACGAAGCGAGUCUGGUGACGUCUGUGGAGCCCGUUCUCUCGGAGAGAUGGGAGCAUGCUGUGUGGACUCUGCUGAGGCAGCUUGCCUGGCCAUCUUCUCUGGUUUUCUGAGGUUCCGCUCCUUGAAGGGAUGUGUGACAGUGAUACCGGCGGUCAGACAAGUCAAGUGGCAUUUGCUCACCCUCAGAUCCUCAGGCCCGAGUUGUGUAACCAUGUGGAAUCAUGAUGUUUCUGGCGGUCGUGUCUGCGGGUGUCAUGAUUUAUAAGAAACUACCUAACGGUCACCGUGAAAACAGAAGAGUGCUGGGGGUUCAGGCCUCCUCCUGUGAGCCUCACCUCUCCUCUGUGCACAGACAGACAGCGCCCACCCUGCCCACCCCUCCCCCUUGAGACCAUCUCAGAGAGAACCCCUCCAACAUGUGGUACAGCAAGUGUCCUUGUUUAGUAGCUUGGUGUGAGUAAUUCUGCGUGAGAACUCAAAAAAGAAAUAUUUGCACAGGUUUGUAUAAGCUAUUCACACUACUCUUUGGCAACAGGAGAUUAGGUGGCAGAGUUUAAUACAUACAGAAUUCUGGAAAAAGCGUUUUUAAGACCUUUCACUUUUAAUGUUAGGACUUUGCCCACAUUGGUUACUUAAUGACCAGGGAGGGACCUGAAAUGGAUUUUGAACUGGCACACAGGAGUUGUACCAGCAGCAAGUUCUGGUCCUGGUUUGAGCGUUUCAUACAUGUGGUGUAACUCUGCUUUAGAAGAACUAGGCUUGAGAAAUCUGUGCCCAGUUGUGUUACACUUUGAUCUGCUUGCCUCAUUCACAAGCCAGGUGAUUCCUCCCACCAUAGUCAAUGACAAGUCAUGUCUCAGUCUCCAUUCAUGUAAAAAAAGACUACAGGUUAUUAACCUUCUGCAACUCUUAAGAAAUGGCAGUGUCACAGUCUGUCAGGCCCCUCAAAUGAAUACACCCAAAUAUCAACUGGUCGCCCCCCCUCACCCAGUUCCAAACCUCUGCCUGUGUUUUUGAGUGUUGUCAAUCCUGUGACUACCACUCCGUGGUACCAAGUUUGACCCUAAGGAACAAUGUUUGUCUCUUCUCUCUCGCUGGCCACGAAGCUACAGGCUCCUUGAGGUGCGACCAUGAGCAACACCCAGUCAUACUGUCCACACACCAGAGAGGCCCUUGUCACACUCGACAGCGCUGAGGGGAGCUGCUUGGGGGAGCGGCCUACCCAUGGUGGAAGGGAGCCCCUCGUAGCCUCGUCUGGUCCAGUU